UUUAUAUUUUGGCAAAACCGGGGAAAUCCGGUGACGCAAAGCCAAGGGCCUAAACCAUUUACUGGUACGGCAGCUGGUUGCUCCA
rfam:Anaerostipes sp. CAG:276 genomic scaffold, scf36